GCGAACUGUCCGACUGUCACUCCGCCUAGUACCUAGUUUCUCAGUGCUUCACGAAAAUGGCGUUCUUUAAUCCAAUGUGAUGCAAAUUUUGUUUGAAGAUCACGCAACAUUUGAUCCCCUAUGCCACUGCUUACGGAUA